AUGCGAGCUCUGUUUGGUGAUGACUAUUAUGUCUGCAGAUUUCAGGAACCAGGGAAAAUAGAAGAUGAAUUUGCAAAAGGAUUCACAGGUGGCCUUAACUACUACAGAAAUCUCAACUUAAACUGGGAGCUGACAGCAGCAUGGACUGGAGCACAAAUUAAGGUACCAGUGAAGUUCAUCACAGAUGAUGGUAAUGAUUCGGAUAUGGACAUGGUUGACAAACCUCCAAGUCAAUGA